rnacentral:rRNA from 1 species
GUCMSCGGUGCAAGCGUUAAUCGGAAUUACUGGGCGUAAAGCGUGCGCAGGCGGCUCCUUAAGUCAGAUGUGAAAUCCCCGGGCUUAACCUGGGAACUGCGUUUGAAACUGGGGGGCUUGAGUGUGGAAGAGGGGGGUGGAAUUCCAGGUGUAGCAGUGAAAUGCGUAGAGAUCUGGAGGAACACCGAUGGCGAAGGCAGCCCCCUGGGCUAACACUGACGCUCAUGCACGAAAGCGUGGGGAGCAAACAGGAUUAGAUACCCUGGUAGUCCACGCCGUAAACGAUGUCGAUUUGGAGGCUGUGUCCUUGAGACGUGGCUUCCGGAGCUAACGCGUUAAAUCGACCGCCUGGGGAGUACGGCCKSAAGGUU